UUUGGCUCGGGUAAAUCGGCAGACAACUCAAAAGGGUCACAGUGCAUCUUUAAUAAAACUUCUCAUGCAAGACAAGCGAUAAAGAAGAGCCACAGAACCUCAGUUUCGGUAACGACUGCCGGUGGCCAGGGAGGCAGACUUCCCCCAGAGUCUCUCGCCUCCUGAGCAGCGCUGGGACUGCCCCUAGCUGCCCCUCCGUAGUGUGGGGCAGGAAAAAGCAGACACUUACCGCAAAAGACACCGCUAACGCCGUGGCCCUAAGGGGCCGGGAAUUCCUUAGCGAGGCCCCACGCCGUGGAAAGAAACCCAAAAAAGCUGGGAGCAGACAGACAGGUAUGACCCCACAACCCAACUUCCCGAACUAAAAGUAGGGUCCCAACGCCCAGCACCGCGUUGCCAACUCCCACCAGCUGGAAAACCGACGAGUGCCACCGAACCUUCCGCCCAAUGAGGAAACGUCAGCACUCCGCGUAGUCCAGCCUUUCUAGAGGAGGAUGCGCUUCCGCUUCCGGGGCACACCGCCGCGUUUUUUCUGCGCGGCUCCUGUAACAGUUUAGAUGUUUAUUUGCAUCGACUGGCUUUUGGUUUCAGUUUUCUACCGCUGAAUAACUGCAGUAGUAAAGUUAGUGGUAAAAAUAGGAGGCUGUCUAGGGAUGUAAUUUCAGGGGAGAAGUCAGGCUUCGACGAUCCACCUUAAGAAAAGUGAUUAGGCGGAGCACUCCCAGCUAAGCGCGUAAAGAUGAGAGAUGGAGGUGUGACUGCAGGCAGGGAUUCCCGGGCGCACGAGAGACCUCCGUAGAGGGGUGGAACUUAGGGCUUCGCAGACUAGAGGCGGGUUCCGCGGAGGGUGGGGCGGUCUCUCCCUGCGCAUGCACAAUGCCAACCAGUGCCUGCGAGUCUUGCUCGUACAACGUAAAAUUUCCCACCGCGAAGCAGGUAGUGAUGCUGCGGCGGCUUCGCACUGUGGUUGCUGCCGACCGCCAGGCGCUGCUACAGUGGAUGCGAACUACCUUUUGCCUCCGCAGCAUUAUAUCAUGCUGCAGAAACCAGCUCAACUAUGCAAAACUACCACCAGGAUUGGCCGACACCAGCAGGGAUUCCAGAGACCACGCUGCAGAGAGCAUACAGAAAGAAAAUUAAGAAAUCAGAUGCAGCAGCAGCCGGAACCCACAGUUCACCUUGGUGCAUUCCUUUAUGAUGAAGACUUAUUGAUUCAUUAUAUGAGAAAGGAAAAAUGAGCAGAAACUACUGUAUGAUGUGCAGCUCACACCAGACAGCACCUUUAGGGUUAUCUUUCCAGUUCAGCAGUGCAACUCUAUGGAGUAGAAUUGAAAGGAGACUUUCCCCAAUUGCAGGAAAUGGUCAUAAAAAAAUACCUGUUCACUAACAGAAUAAAGGUACGUUUUAACUUAGCCAAAUCUCUUUUGCAUUGUUUUCCAAUCUGUUCUUGGUUGCCAUUGUAUAGAAACAGAUUGAAUGAUCUUAAAUAUUUUAAAACAUUAACAGAGAUGAAUUGUUGUGCUUAUAUCCUAUUCACAUAUUUCUCUCUUCGCUGAUUUUAUGGGAAAGUAAAAUUUUUUGAAUUGUCUUCCUACCAGAUACAGUUUUGGUAGCAGCAUUUUUGGAUCUCUAGAGGUUGAUUAGAAGUGUAUUUAAUCUCUGAAUGUUGAAAAUACAUAAAAGGCCUAAGUAAUGACAAUACCUCUUUUUCAGCAGGUAUUGUGUAUGCCACAGAAUAGCAGUUCAUGGGGGAAUGAUGCCAUAGGUUAGGCUACAACAGAGGUUUUCUCUUUUUCCCAUAUUUAAGAAGAAAAAUAACAAAAAAGGGGAACGGAAUUUUUUUGGUUAAUGCAGUAAUCUUUAUCAUUUCACUAAUAGUUCUAUAAUUCUGAUGGCAAUGCAGAGAAAUAUUGAGUAUCUCUGAUGUCAAGUGCAAUCUAAUGUGGAAAGACAUACCUCAGUAAGAUUAAGGAUGUAGUCUUCCCCCCCACUUUUUUUUUUUUUGAGUUGGAGUCUCGCUCUGCUGCUUAGGCUGGAGUGCAGUGGCGUGAUCUCGGCUCACUGCAACCUCCACCUCCUGGGUUCAAGUGAUUAUCCUGCCUCUGCCUCCUGAGUAGCUGGGACUAUAAGAGCCCACUACCACGCCUGGGUAAUUUUUUGUAUUUUUAGUAGAGAUGGAGUUUCACCGUGUUAGCCAAGAUGGCCUCGAUCUGCUACCUCGUGAUCCACCCGCCUCAGCCUCCCAAAGUGCUGGGAUUACAGGCAUGAGCCACCGCGCUUGGCCUCCCCUUUUUUAUAGAAGGAAAUUAUUUCAUUCCCUCCUCUUUCCCACCUCUCUCUCUCUCCCCCAAUUGCUCACAUUAGAGGUAGAGAGACAAAUGAUCAGAGUAAAUUCAUUGUCCAAUAGUAAGUUCAUGGUAUUUUCUCACUAUCCCAUAUGUGGUGAACAAUAAUACCUUGCUCUUACAUAAGAAUCACAUAACUAAUAGAAUCAAUAUAAUUGAAAAUUGAGAUUUAAAAAUUAUGAACUCUUAAAAAUCAUGGUUUAUAAAUGGAUAACCAAGUAAUUUUGUUGGUUUCUUUUAAAGAAGAUAAUAAAGGUGUACAAAACACAUAUUUACUUACUUUUUUUUUUUUUUGAGAUGUAGUCUCACUCUGUCGCCCUGACUAGAGUGUGGUGACAUGAUCUUGGGUCACUGCAACCUCUGCCUUCCAGGUUCAAGCGAUUCUUCUGCCUCAGCCUCCUGAGUAGCUGGGACUACAGGUGAGCACCACCACGCCUGGCUAAUUUUGUAUUUUAGUAGAGACGGGGUUUCACCAUGUUGGCCAGGCUGAUCUCGAUCUCCUGACCUUGUGAUCCACCCACCUCAACCUCCCAAAGUGCUGGGAUUACAGGUGUGAGCCACAGCGCCCAGCCUUAUUUACAUUUUUGAAGAUUUUUUUUACCCCUUUUCAAAGGAAAAUAUGCAGACAGACACCCAUACACGUACUGGCUUGUAGCUUCUGUGGCCAUCAGCAACCCAAUAAAAACUUUUUGGCCAGGUGCAGUGCCUCACGCCUGUAAUCCCAGUGCCUUAGCAGGCCAAGGUGGGAGGAUUGCUUGAGGCCAGGAGUUCAGUAACAGCCUGAAAAACCAUCUCUCCCAAAAAAAAAAAUUAGCCAGGUAUGGUGGCACACACCUGUAAGUCCCAGCUACUUGGGAGGCUGAGGCAGGACUCCUUUAGCCCAGCAAUUUGAGGCUUCAUUGAUCUACAGUCAUGCCACUGCAGCCCAGCCUGGAUAACAGCUAGACUUUGUCUCUUAAAAAAAUAAAAACUCUAAGGCCGGCUCGGUGGCUUACACCUGUAAUCCCAGCACUUUGGGAGGCCAAGGCGGGCAGAUCACCUGAUGUCAGGAGUUUGAGACCAGCCUGGCCAACAUAGUGAAAUCCCAUCUUUACUAAAAAUAAAAAAAUUAGCCAGGUGUGGUGGUGCCUGCCCUGUAAUCCCAGCUACUUGGGAGACAGAAGCAGGAUAAUUGCUUGAACCCAGGAGGUGGAGGUUGCAGUGAGCUGAGAUCAUGCCACUGCACUCCAGCCUGAGCAACACAGCAAGACUCUAUCUCAGAUAAAUAAAUAAACAAAACUUUUUAAAUACCAUCUUUUUUUGUUUUUUGAAAUAGGGUCCUCCCUGGGCUCAGGUGAUCCUCCCACCUCAGCCUCCCAAGUAGCUGGGACUACAGGUGUGUGCCACACCAUACCUGGCUAAUUUUUGUGUUUUUUUGGUAGAAACAGGGAUUGACCACAUUGCCCAGGAUGGUCUUGAAAUCCUGAGCUCAAGUGAUCUGCCCACCCCAGCCUCCCAAAGUGCUAGGAUUACAGGCCUCGGUCACUGCACCUGGUAUUUAUUUUUUUAUUUUAUUUUUAUUUGUUUAUUUUUUUUAAUUUUUUUUUUUUUUUUUUUUUUUUUUUUUUUUUUGAGACAGAGUCUCACUCUGUCACCCAGGCUAGAGUACAGUGGCACGAUCUCGGCCCACUGCAAGCUCCGCUUCCUGGUUCACGCCAUUCUCCUGCCUCAGCCUCCCAAGUAACUGGGACUACAAGCACCUGUCACCAUGCCCUGCUAAUUUUUUGUAUUUUUGGUAGAGACGGGGUUUCACCAUGUUAGCCAGGAUGGUCUCAAUCUCCUGACCUCAUGAUCCGCCCACCUCGGACUCCCAAAGUGCUGGGAUUAUAGGCGUGAGCCACCGCGCCUGGCUGCACCCGGUAUUUUUAUAUCACCUUACGACUUUUAGAAACCUUAACAGUUUCCUUCCUUGAAGCUAUAGACAAAUGGAUUUGAGGGAUCUUAAAAUUAACAGAAAGGAUUCUAGGAUUGUUUUUUAUUGUAUCUGUUGAAAUCUAGCUAGCCUCCAAGGUUCAAUUUUUACUUUUUCAUUUGUUUUUGUUGUUUGUUUGUUUUUCUUUCUUUCCUUUUUUUUUUCUUUUCUUUUCUUUUCUUUUUUUUUGAAACAGUCUUGCUCUGUUGCCCAGGCUGAAGUGCAGUGGCAUGAUCUCAGCUUACUCCAACCUCCUCUUCCUGGAUUCAAGCAAUUCUUCUGCCUCAGCCUCCGAAGUAGCUGGAAUUACAGGCACGUGCCACCAAGCCUGGCUAAUUUUUGUAUUUUUAGUAGUAACUGGGUUUCACCAUGUUGACCAGGCUGACCUCAAACUCCUAACCUCAAAUGAUCCGCCCACCUCAGCCUCCCAAAGUGUUGGAAUUACAGACGAGCCACUGCGCCUGGCCUGUUUCAUCUUUUUGUAUGGGGCUUUUCUCUGAAUCCUUGGUUUUCUGCUCAUACUUAAGAAUGAGUAACAAAAAGGCUGAUUGAAGUUCUGAGUGGGGAUUGUUAACUGUGGACUUCAUUAUUGAGUGAUCUUGCUGGGUAGUUUAUUAGUUGGGAAAUACCUAAUGAAAUAUCUUAAGAUCUUUCCUCUUGGGCUGAUCUGAUUGCCUAGAAAAAACCUUUCCAAUCUUCUAGCCGAAUAGCAAGCAGCAUACUGGGAACACAGUGGUAGAGCAAAAGGGUUGAAGAGGCAGGGUUCUCCGCAUUCUGCAUGCAUAUUUCCUUAAUUCCCCGGUUUUCAGUACAUUACCCUUUCCUUCAGCGAGGCCUGGAAUCCCCUGGUUAUCCUGUUCAACCCUCUCCAGAGAAUAAACCUCUAUUCAUUUGCUGGAGUAGGAAAAAGGGAAAUAGGGAUCUGACUGUGUCUUAAUCUGACUUUCAGCUAGAUUCUCUUAUUUUUAGCAUUUCUCCCUACUACUUCAUCCGGUACCACCAAUUAUUAGCCUUUUGGAGUUUCUGUAGCGUAAGUCAGAUUUGAGUCUUAGCUCUCAAUAUUUCUAUCUUUGAAAUCAAUUUUCUCAGGUCUCCUAAAUUCCUUAUCACUUCUCCUUUUUUCUCUAACUUAACAAAUUUUUAUAUCUGUUAUUCCCUUUCCCAUUCUAUCCAUCCUUGAAGGUUUACACCUUCUUUUAAAAACCCCUAUUCUGUCAUUAUAAUGGGAUUUCACUAAUGUACACGCAUGUCUCUUACCCACUGUCUUUACAGGCAAGGCCUAUAGAUUGAAAUUGUUUUUUCCCUUUUCUCCAGGCUAGAGGUAAACUUUCCCUCAUUCAUAUCCCUGGUGUUAGCUUAUUCCUUUGAUGGCAGCUGUAUGAACUUACUAACGUAGCUUUUUUAAUGCCCUUACUAGAUAACAUAUUUGAGAGUAAAUAUUGUGUCUCAUUCAUCACAGUGUAUAUCUCUGCACAGUAUCUUGUGCAUAGGAGGUGCCCAUUAAAUACUGGUUAAAUUGAUUUGAGCUAUCUUGUGGCCUCUGCAUUGUUAGCAUUCCAGAGUUUGCCCAGAGCUAUUCCUUAGGGUUUUCCUGGGACCUUAGGAGCACCUCUGUGGUCCUAAGGUGUGGUCCUUAGGAGCACCUCUGUGGUCCUAAUUAAUUGAUCCACCUGAUUCUCUUUUACACUGUCUGUACAGUUGUGGGGUAUGGGGAGAAAAGAGUGAACGGAGAUGGAAAAGAAAAGGGGGGAAUUGUUUGAGAGCUAUGAUGUAUCAGGAAGUUAAUUUACAUGUCUAUUUCGUGUAUUUCAUACAUGUUUCAAAAGUUUGAAAUGAUUGACUUUUUCUUUGUGUUGAGUAAUAUGUUUAGAGGCUCCAGGCCAACUUUAAAUUUAUUAUUUUAGGUUUUUUUUUUUUUUUU
ensembl:lincRNA